UUACCUUAGUAACGGCGAGUGAAGCGGUAACAGCUCAAAUUUGAAAUCUGGCUCUUUUAGGGUCCGAGUUGUAAUUUGUAGAAGAUGCUUCAGGUGUGGCUCCGGUCUAAGUUCCUUGGAACAGGACGUCAUAGAGGGUGAGAAUCCCGUAUGUGACUGGCUGCCUUCGCCUAUGUGAAGCUCUUUCGACGAGUCGAGUUGUUUGGGAAUGCAGCUCUAAAUGGGAGGUAAAUUUCUUCUAAAGCUAAAUAUUGGCCAGAGACCGAUAGCGCACAAGUAGAGUGAUCGAAAGAUGAAAAGCACUUUGGAAAGAGAGUUAAACAGUACGUGAAAUUGUUGAAAGGGAAGCGCUUGCAACUAGACUUGCCUGCCGUCGAUCAUCCUCCGUUCUCGGUGGUGUACUCGGCGGUGGUCAGGCCAGCAUCGGUUUUGGUGGUGGGAUAAAGACCUUAGGAAUGUGACUCCUCUCGGGGAGUGUUAUAGCCUUCGGUGCAAUGCCGCCUACUGGGACCGAGGACCGCGCUUCGGCUAGGAUGCUGGCGUAAUAGUUGUAAGCGACCCGUCUUGAAACACGGACCAAGGAGUCUAACAUCUAUGCGAGUGUUUGGGUGUUAAACCCAUACGCGUAAUGAAAGUGAACGGAGGUGAGAACCCUUUAGGGUGCAUCAUCGACCGAUCCUGAUGUCCUCGGAUGGAUUUGAGUAAGAGCAUAGCUGUUGGGACCCGAAAGAUGGUGAACUAUGCCUAAAUAGGGUGAAGCCAGAGGAAACUCUGGUGGAGGCUCGCAGCGGUUCUGACGUGCAAAUCGAUCGUCAAAUUUGGGUAUAGGGGCGAAAG
rnacentral:rRNA from 1 species